rnacentral:lncRNA from 1 species
CCCGGUGGCUCGUUGCUUGCGGCUUCUGUUGCCCAGCGCUUUCGGACUCCUCCGGGGCCCCUCCGUGGCUUCCGGGGAGACGGAGCCAAAGUGUUGUUGCUUUGAGUAGUUGCGAGCGACCCCGGGUCUCAGGGAGGGCUUCAUUGCCGACUGAAGAAACCCAGCGACCUCGGCCUCCGGCUUACCCAGCUCUCCUGCCCGAGGGGCAAAGCCCCCUCCUCUUUUCUUUAGUUUGCACGGGAUGCGCUUUGACUCCGUGAACAGUCUCAUUGUGGUGGUGCCAGCCUUUAAAGCCCGCACCCAGGAGGCAGAGGCAGGAGAAUCUCUGAGCUCGAGCCCAGGCUGGUCUACACAUGGAAAGGCCGUAUUUUGAGGAAUACAUGUAAUGUGUUAAGGAGGCCACUGGAAAAGCCAGACACCCAGGGAAGAGCUCAGGGCUGACAGCCUGAGAGCUGGUCAUUCUGGGAAACCAGAGGCCUUGGCAGUCCCCAUCUGGCAUCUAAAACCUGGAAGGCUCCAGGAGAGUUCUGGAUCUUCAGCCCACCUUGGAAGCCUAAAGAAGCUGGAGUCUGAUGCCACCAGGGGUUGGAGGCAGCAGCAGGAGAGAGAUGCACUUAAGAGGUGAAGGCUGCAGGCUGGCCACACUGCAUAUACCAUGGAGGUCAGCACUGGGAUGCACUGCCCACACGGGAAGAGUCUCCCUGCCUCAGAGACAGACAGGACUUUCAGACCCUGUGGGGAAGCUGACUUUAUUUGGAAGCUCUGUGGAGUUGUCUAAAUCAACGCUGGGAGGAAUUGAACACAGUUACUCUGUGCUCACAGACUGUGUCUUUAACAAUAUCUACAGGAUGCUUUUGAGUGCUGUGCGUGCAGACAUGUGUCACCAGGCCUGGCCCCUGAGUCGGUGCUGGAGAUCCGAACCCUCGAGCUUGCACAGUGACCCAGCCCCCGUGACUCUCUUUUCAAGCAAGCACUCUGGCAGUCCUCACAGGAAGUAGUUGGUGGUUGAGUACGGGUACAGCAUGCACAGGCCCUGGAUUUGUUCCACAACACCAAAGCAGAAGAAGGAUCCGAGUGUCCUGCGUGUAUUUCUUGCCGGCCGAGAAAAUACAGAGCGCGCGGGACAUAUGGUGCCGAAACCCGAGAAGCUUAACAUCUCCGGCACCGCGGAGACCCCUUGGCUACAAGGUGGAUUCAGAACUGCAGGGUGGUAAAUUCGGAGAG